UACGGAGGGUGCGAGCGUUGUCCGGAAUUACUGGGCUUAAAGGGUGCGUAGGCGGACCAGAAAGUGCUUUGUGAAAUCCCCCGGCUCAACCGGGGAACAGCGGGGCAUACUGCUGGUCUUGAGGCAAGUAAGGGUUGCGAGAACUGUAGGUGGAGCGGUGAAAUGCGUAGAUAUCUACAGGAAUGCCGAUGGUGAAGACGCGCAACUGGGCUUGUCCUGACGCUGAGGCACGAAAGCGUGGGGAGCAAACAGG
rnacentral:rRNA from 1 species